AGUGAACGCUGGCGGUAGGCCUAACACAUGCAAGUCGAACGGCAGCACAGUAAGAGCUUGCUCUUACGGGUGGCGAGUGGCGGACGGGUGAGGAAUACAUCGGAAUCUACUUUUUCGUGGGGGAUAACGUAGGGAAACUUACGCCAAUACCGCAUACGACCUACGGGUGAAAGCAGGGGAUCUUCGGACCUUGCGCGAUUGUAUGAGCCGAUGUCGGAUUAGCUAGUUGGCGGGGUAAAGGCCCACCAAGGCGACGAUCCGUAGCUGGUCUGAGAGGAUGAUCAGCCACACUGGAACUGAGACACGGUCCAGACUCCUACGGGAGGCAGCAGUGGGGAAUAUUGGACAAUGGGCGCAAGCCUGAUCCAGCCAUACCGCGUGGGUGAAGAAGGCCUUCGGGUUGUAAAGCCCUUUUGUUGGGAAAGAAAAGCAGCAGGUUAAUACCCCGCUGUUCUGACGGUACCCAAAGAAUAAGCACCGGCUAACUUCGUG
rnacentral:rRNA from 1 species